AAAAGGAUGAAAGGAGGCAAGGCGAUGGGCCCUGAUUGUAUCCCCAUUGAGGUGUGGAAAGGUCUCGGGGACAUAGCGAUAGUAUGGCUAACCAAGCUUUUCAACCUCAUUUUUCGGGCAAACAAGAUGCCAGAAGAAUGGAGACGGAGUAUAUUAGUACCAAUCUUCAAGAACAAGGGGGAUGUUCAGAGUUGUACUAAUUACCGUGGAAUUAAGCUGAUGAGCCAUACAAUGAAGCUAUGGGAGAGAGUCAUUGAGCACCGCUUAAGAAGAAUGACAAGCGUGACCAAAAAUCAGUUUGGUUUCAUGCCUAGGAGGUCGACCAUGGAAGCCAUUUUCUUGGUACGACAACUUAUGGAGAGAUAUAGGGAGCAUAAGAAGGACUUGCAUAUGGUGUUCAUUGACUUGGAGAAGGCCUAUGAUAAGAUACCGCGGAAUGUCAUGUGGUGGGCCUUGGAGAAACACAAAGUCCCAGCAAAGUACAUUACCCUCAUCAAGGACAUGUACAAUAAUGUUGUGAAAAGUGUUCGAACAAGUGAUGUCGACACCGAUGACUUCCCGAUUAAGAUAGGACUACAUCAGGGGUCAGCUUUGAGACCUUACCUUUUUGCAUUGGUGAUGGAUGAGGUCACA
rnacentral:rRNA from 1 species